rnacentral:sRNA from 1 species
GCCAGGUGCAGUAGCGCCCGCCUGUAAUCCCAGCAGCUUGGGAAGCUGAGACAGGAGGAUCUCGAGUUCAAAGCCAGCCUCAGUAAAAGCGAAGUGCUAAGCAACUCUUGAGACCCUGACUCUU